rnacentral:rRNA from 1 species
UGGGGAAUAUUGCACAAUGGGCGCAAGCCUGAUGCAGCCAUGCCGCGUGUAUGAAGAAGGCCUUCGGGUUGUAAAGUACUUUCAGAGGGGAGGAAGGCGAUGUGGUUAAUAACCGCGUCAAUUGACGUUACCCGCAGAAGAAGCACCGGCUAACUCCGUGCCAGCAGCCGCGGUAAUACGGAGGGUGCAAGCGUUAAUCGGAAUUACUGGGCGUAAAGCGCACGCAGGCGGUCUGUCAAGUCGGAUGUGAAAUCCCCGGGCUCAACCUGGGAACUGCAUCCGAAACUGGCAGGCUUGAGUCUCGUAGAGGGGGGUAGAAUUCCAGGUGUAGCGGUGAAAUGCGUAGAGAUCUGGAGGAAUACCGGUGGCGAAGGCGGCCCCCUGGACGAAGACUGACGCUCAGGUGCGAAAGCGUGGGGAGCAAACA